rnacentral:rRNA from 1 species
GUCGAGCGGUUGACGGGAGCUUGCUCCCUGAUUCAGCGGCGGACGGGUGAGUAAUGCCUAGGAAUCUGCCUAUUAGUGGGGGACAACGUUUCGAAAGGAACGCUAAUACCGCAUACGUCCUACGGGAGAAAGCAGGGGACCUUCGGGCCUUGCGCUAAUAGAUGAGCCUAGGUCGGAUUAGCUAGUUGGUGAGGUAAUGGCUCACCAAGGCGACGAUCCGUAACUGGUCUGAGAGGAUGAUCAGUCACACUGGAACUGAGACACGGUCCAGACUCCUACGGGAGGCAGCAGUGGGGAAUAUUGGACAAUGGGCGAAAGCCUGAUCCAGCCAUGCCGCGUGUGUGAAGAAGGUCUUCGGAUUGUAAAGCACUUUAAGUUGGGAGGAAGGGUUGUAGAUUAAUACUCUGCAAUUUUGACGUUACCGACAGAAUAAGCACCGGCUAACUCUGUGCCAGCAGCCGCGGUAAUACAGAGGGUGCAAGCGUUAAUCGGAAUUACUGGGCGUAAAGCGCGCGUAG